CCUACGGGAGGCAGCAGUGAGGAAUAUUGGUCAAUGGGCGGAAGCCUGAACCAGCCAAGUCGCGUGAGGGAUUAAGGCCCCGCGGGUCGUAAACCUCUUUUGCCGGGGAGCAGUGGUCCGGACGAGUCCGGGCCGGGAGAGUACCCGGAGAAAAAGCAUCGGCUAACUCCGUGCCAGCAGCCGCGGUAAUACGGAGGAUGCGAGCGUUAUCCGGAUUUAUUGGGUUUAAAGGGUGCGUAGGCGGGCAUUUAAGCCGGCGGUCAAAUGUCGGGGAUCAACCCCGGCCUGCCGUCGGAACUGGGUGCCUUGAGUGGGCGAGAAGUAUGCGGAAUGCGUGGUGUAGCGGUGAAAUGCAUAGAUAGCACGCAGAACCCCGAUUGCGAAGGCAGCAUACCGGCGCCCGACUGACGCUGAGGCACGAAAGUGCGGGUAUCGAACAGGAUUAGAUACCCGAGUAGUC
rnacentral:rRNA from 1 species